rnacentral:misc_RNA from 1 species
GAUUUUUGCAGCCUUCAUUCACUCAUCACAGCAUUACUGCUCUUUUCUCGUGAAAAAAAAGAAAAAGCCUUACGUGAGAGAGAACAGUGAGAGAGAACAGUUUAUCUCUCUAUAUUCUUUCUCUCUCUCUCUGUGUGUGUCUAAAACCACCUGUACUUAGAAACACUCAGCUCCCUGUACUCUCUUCUCUUGCUUCUUUAACCUGCACUUUCUUUCACUCGCAUAAGCUCUGUCUCUGGAAUCUUUUCUUCUUGUUUUGUUUUGGCUGUGUGUGAUAAAUUUGAAUGGAUGCUUUUACAGCUUAUGUUCUAUAAUGCAGGCUCCUUGUUAUGCUUCUUUAUGUUUUCUUGUUCUUGUUUUGGUCUCUAUUCUCUUCCUUUGACGUGGGUCUUUGGUUUUUUGAUCACAUUUCUUUGAUUCCCGCAUUUCCUUCUGCUCCUAAAUUUGAGGGAUUUGCCUUUUUUGCAUUGCUUUCGAUUCUGCUAAAUCUCAAAUGGGUUUUCUUUAAAUGUUGAACAGUGAUUUGGGGUUUGCAUUUCUGGGCUUUUGCUUGGUGAAACUGAAACAUUCUCAGUUGCCUAUCGCUCUAAGUUCUGAUUCUUCACUGAAGUACGGGUAUUUUAAGCUGUGAUUCUUUGAUCUACAGAAAAAUUGUACCAUUGUGGAGAAGUGGGAUUCUUAUACAUAUUAAUGUUCCUCAGCUGCUUUGUGAAGAAAAUUUGAGUUCUUGUAUUGAGGCACUCUUAGUCCAGCAAGAAAUAGUUCCCAAUAAUGGCAUUUUUAUGCUUGUCUUAUGUUUUGCUAGUUGGGUUUCUAUCGA